rnacentral:rRNA from 1 species
CCCUUAGAUGUUCUGGGCCGCACGCGCGCUACACUGAUGAAUUCAACGAGUUUCUUCCUUGACCGGUAGGUCUGGGUAAUCUUGUAAACGUUCAUCGUGAUGGGGCUAGAUUAUUGCAAUUAUUAAUCUUCAACGAGGAAUUCCUAGUAAACGCAAGUCAUCAGCUUGCAUUGAUUACGUCAAUGCCCUUUGUACACACCGCCCGUCGCACCUACCGAUUGAAUGGUCCGAUGAAAUCCUCGGACCGUGGAGCGAUCUGUGCUCGUCACCGAACGCAUCCGCGGGAAGUUGAUUAAGUCAUACCAUUUAGAGGAAGGUGAAGUCGUANCA